GACGAACGCUGGCGGCGUGCCUAAUACAUGCAAGUCGAACGCACAGUUUCUACCUUAGCUUGCUACACCAUAGACUGUGAGUUGCGAACGGGUGAGUAACGCGUCGCUAACCUGCCUGGUAGCGGGGGAUAACUAUUGGUAACGAUAGCUAAUACCGCAUCAUCUUAAUUAUUGCAUGAUAAUUAAUUGAACGGUGCAUUUGCACCCCUACCAGAUGGUUCUGCGUUGUAUUAUCUAGUAGGUGAGGUAACGGCUCACCUGGGCGUGGAUACAUAGCCGACCGAGGAGGGGAAGCGGCCACGGUGGGACGGGGACACGGCCCAGACGCCUACGGGAGGCAGCAGUAGGGAAUCUUCGGAAAUGGACGAGAGGCUGACCGAGCAACGCCGCGGGAGUGAAGAAGGUUUUCGGGUCGGAAAGAUCUGUUGUAAGAGAAGAACGGGUGUGAGAGUGGAAAGUUCACACUGUGAGGGUAUCUUACCAGAAAGGGACGGCUAACUACGUG
rnacentral:rRNA from 1 species